rnacentral:rRNA from 1 species
GAUGAACGCUGGCGGCGUGCCUAAUACAUGCAAGUCGAGCGAACGGAUGAGGAGCUUGCUCCUCUGACGUUAGCGGCGGACGGGUGAGUAACACGUGGGUAACCUACCUAUAAGACUGGGAUAACUUCGGGAAACCGGAGCUAAUACCGGAUAAUAUAUUGAACCGCAUGGUUCAAUAGUGAAAGACGGUUUUGCUGUCACUUAUAGAUGGAUCCGCGCCGCAUUAGCUAGUUGGUAAGGUAACGGCUUACCAAGGCAACGAUGCGUAGCCGACCUGAGAGGGUGAUCGGCCACACUGGAACUGAGACACGGUCCAGACUCCUACGGGAGGCAGCAGUAGGGAAUCUUCCGCAAUGGGCGAAAGCUUGACGGAGCAACGCCGCGUGAGUGAUGAAGGUCUUCGGAUCGUAAAACUCUGUUAUUAGGGAAGAACAAAUGUGUAAGUAACUAUGCACGUCUUGACGGUACCUAAUCAGAAAGCCACGGCUAACUACGUG